GCGGCGGACGGGUGAGUAACACGUGGGCAACCUACCUGUAAGAUCGGGAUAACUCCGGGAAACCGGGGCUAAUACCGGAUAACACUUUUCACCUCAUGGUGAGAAGAUGAAAGACGGCGCAAGCUGUCACUUACAGAUGGGCCCGCGGCGCAUUAGCUAGUUGGUGGGGUAAUGGCUCACCAAGGCAACGAUGCGUAGCCGACCUGAGAGGGUGAUCGGCCACACUGGGACUGAGACACGGCCCAGACUCCUACGGGAGGCAGCAGUAGGGAAUCUUCCGCAAUGGACGAAAGUCUGACGGAGCAACGCCGCGUGAGUGAUGAAGGUUUUCGGAUCGUAAAACUCUGUUGUUAGGGAAGAACAAGUAUGAUAGUAACUGAUCAUACCUUGACGGUACCUAACCAGAAAGCCACGGCUAACUACGUGCCAGCAGCCGCGGUAAUACGUAGGUGGCAAGCGUUGUCCGGAAUUAUUGGGCGUAAAGCGCUCGCAGGCGGUCUUUUAAGUCUGAUGUGAAAUCUCGUGGCUUAACCACGAACGGUCAUUGGAAACUGGAGGACUUGAGUACAGAAGAGGAGAGUGGAAUUCCACGUGUAGCGGUGAAAUGCGUAGAGAUGUGGAGGAACACCAGUGGCGAAGGCGACUCUCUGGUCUGUA
rnacentral:rRNA from 1 species